UAGGGAAUCUUCCACAAUGGACGCAAGUCUGAUGGAGCAACGCCGCGUGAGUGAAGAAGGUUUUCGGAUCGUAAAGCUCUGUUGUUGGUGAAGAAGGAUAGAGGCAGUAACUGGUCUUUAUUUGACGGUAAUCAACCAGAAAGUCACGGCUAACUGACGUGCCAGCAGCCGCGGUAAUACGUAGGUGGCAAGCGUUGUCCGGAUUUAUUGGGCGUAAAGCGAGCGCAGGCGGAAUGAUAAGUCUGAUGUGAAAGCCCACGGCUCAACCGUGGAACUGCAUCGGAAACUGUCAUUCUUGAGUGCAGAAGAGGAGAGUGGAACUCCAUGUGUAGCGGUGGAAUGCGUAGAUAUAUGGAAGAACACCAGUGGCGAAGGCGGCUCUCUGGUCUGCAACUGACGCUGAGGCUCGAAAGCAUGGGUAGCGAACAGGAUUAGAUACCCUGGUAGUCCAUGCCGUAAACGAUGAGCGCUAGGUGUUGGGGACUUUCCGGUUCUCAGUGCCGCAGCAAACGCAUUAAGCGCUCCGCCUGGG
rnacentral:rRNA from 1 species